rnacentral:rRNA from 1 species
GAUGAACGCUAGCGGCAGGCUUAACACAUGCAAGUCGAGGGGUAUAGGUUUUCGGACCUAGAGACCGGCGCACGGGUGCGUAACGCGUAUGCAAUCUACCUUUCACAGAGGGAUAGCCCAGAGAAAUUGGGAGUAAUACCUCAUAGUAUAGCAGUUUCGCAUGAAACCACUAUUGAAGUUCCAAAGGUGAAAGAUGAGCAUGCGUCCCAUUAGCUAGAUGGUAAGGUAACGGCUUAACAUGGCUACGAUGGGUAGGGGUCCUGAGAGGGAGAUCCCCCACACUGGUACUGAGACACGGACCAGACUCCUACGGGAGGCAGCAGUGAGGAAUAUUGGUCAAUGGACGCAAGUCUGAACCAGCCAUGCCGCGUGCAGGAUGACGGUCCUAUGGAUUGUAAACUGCUUUUGUACGAGAAGAAACAACAUUACGUGUAAUGUCUUGACGGUAUCGUAAGAAUAAGGAUCGGCUAACUCCGUGCCAGCCGCCGCGGUAACAC